rnacentral:rRNA from 1 species
GACGAACGCUGGCGGCGUGCCUAAUACAUGCAAGUAGAACGCAGUUGCGAACGGGUGAGUAACGCGUAGGUAACUACAUAUUAGAGGGGGAUAACUAUUGGAACCGAUAACUAAUACCGCAUCCUAGUAGGUUGACCUGCGUUGUAUUAGGUAGUAGGUAGGGGAAUGGGCUACCUAGGUCACGAUACAUAGCCGAACUGUGAGGGCGAGCGGCCACACUGGGACUGAGACACGCGCCAGACGCAUACGGGCAGCAGCCGGAGGGAAUCGUCGGGAAUGGGGGGAAACCUGACCGAGCAACGCAGCGUGAGUGAAGAAGGUGUUCGGAUGGGAAAGUGCGGGUGUUAAGGAAGCGGUACUUAAAGAGAAAGGGACGGCUAACUACGUGCCAGCAGCCGCGGUAAUUC